rnacentral:lncRNA from 12 species
UAGUGUCUUAAAGAUUAUGAAGAAAAGUACUCUUUGUUUCACUGUGAAACCAACAUCCAGUCAGAUUCAGCUUUGGUCAGUAGCACAAUCACCACCAUCAUUCACAAAAUGACUUUCAUUUCUAGAGGCAACAAUAGAAGCAAAACUGAGGAAGUGAGGGACGCCUGGGUGGCUCAGCGGUUGAGCGUCUGUCUUCGGCUCAGGUCGUGAUUCCAGGGUCCAGGAUCCAGUCCCACAUCUGGCUCCCCAUAGGGAGCCUGCUUCUCCCACUGCCUGUGUCUCUGCCUCUCUCUCUGUGUGUCUCUCAUGAAUAAAUAAAUAAAAUUAAAAAACAAAAACAAAAACAAGGAAGAGGCCACCUGGCAGAUCGGAAGGAAUGGGGCCCUGGCCAGGGAGCUGAUGGUGGGAAAGUAGGGAACAGAAACCAGAACAGCCAAGGGUUUCAAAGGACAGGGGGCCACAGGACCUCGUUCCAGGUCAUUUCAAACCACAUAUUAUUGGUAAAUCUCCAGCGCCUGUGCCAGGUACACAAGAAGGAUUUGAAAUUUAUUUUGAAAACAGCAGUUCUGGGGCACCUGGGUGGCUCAGCAGUUGAGCAUCUGCCUUCAGCUCAGGUCAUGAUCCUGGGGUCCUGGGAUCGAGUCCCACAUCGGGCUCACUGCAGGGAGCCAGCUUCUCCCUCUGCUGAUGUCUCUGCCUCUUUCUCUAUGUCUCUCAUGAGUAAAUAAAUAAAAUCUAUUUUUUUAAAAAAAAGGAAGGAGCAGUCCUGCCUAGAAAUUAAGCUCUGAGUUUUAUCUUACUUUCCCUCCCUCCCACAUCAAUAACCUCAUUCUAGUGCAGCUUAGGUUGCUAAAGCAUCUCUCAGGGAGAACAUAAAUAUCUAUCUAUCUGCACCUAGCCAGCAAGUGUAUCUAUCUGUGUGUAUAAAAUCAUGCUAAAGUUGAUUUCCUUAUUAUUUCAUGUUAGAACACCCUUGUCGCUAAAUAGUGUUCAGAAUAAAUAUGCAGUACAGGAAGCA